GACGAACGCUGGCGGCGUGCUUAACACAUGCAAGUCGAACGAUGAAGCCGGAGCUUGCUCUGGUGAAUUAGUGGCGAACGGGUGAGUAACACGUGAGUAACCUGCCCUUGACUCUGGGAUAACUGCGGGAAACUGUAGCUAAUACCGGAUACGACCCUCGGAGGCAUCUCCUGGGGGUGGAAAGAAUUUCGGUCAAGGAUGGACUCGCGGCCUAUCAGCUAGUUGGCGAGGUAAAGGCUCACCAAGGCGACGACGGGUAGCCGGCCUGGGAGGGUGACCGGCCACACUGGGACUGAGACACGGCCCAGACUCCUACGGGAGGCAGCAGUGGGGAAUAUUGCACAAUGGGCGCAAGCCUGAUGCAGCAACGCCGCGUGAGGGAUGACGGCCUUCGGGUUGUAAACCUCUUUUAGCAGGGAAGAAGCGAAAGUGACGGUACCUGCAGAAAAAGCACCGGCUAACUACGUGCCAGCAGCCGCCGUAA
rnacentral:rRNA from 1 species